CUUCGGAUCCAACGCUCCUAGCUGGGAGAUGGGAAGCUGUGGGCUGCGCAGUGGGUCUUUAUGGUCUUGGAAAGGGGACACCCCACCUUGUGCUCAUCUUUGUAGAAUCUGGGCAAGUUUGGGGGUCCUCAUAAAGAUUUUGAAAUUUUUGAAGUCUAUUCUCUGCCUGUUUUUCUAAAAAAUUCUUCAGUAGGUGAAUAAUUUACUUAACAUUGUGUACUUGGGAGAAUAUGAUGAUGGGGACAGAGCAUGCUGCAUUGCAUGGCUUCUUAGGAAGAAAACACUAUGGGCUGCCCUGCAGAAAUGCAGGCAGAAGCUGUCAUCAGUGAAUGUUGGGAGGAUCCAUAAUGUUGGAUUGGAAUAGAACUAGAGUGAGGUUGUUUCAUGAGGCCUUCUCCCAUCUAGAAUCUUUCUCAGGAGUAUUCUGGAUGCUUUGACCUGGAUCAGUUACUGCUUUGGUUUGUGGCAACAUGAAAACUGGCACAACAGGACAAAAAUGAGUUGAUUAUUUCAGCUGAACUUCCUGGGAGUUUCAUUCACAAUAAAGGAGAGGCAGAACAAGUAGAAAACUGGAACAUGCAGCUCCUCAUUAUGCCUUUGUUGUACCAUCCAUGCAGUGAAUGUUUACCAAAUUCACUUUAUGCCUCAUAGCAGGAGGCCACAAGGAGAGUGACUGAGUUCCCAUGGCUACCACAGGAGGCCGCCAGGUGGGACAAAGAAUUCAGGGUGAGGAAGUAGAUGGCCUGGGUCCCCAUUUCUGUUGUUA
rnacentral:lncRNA from 10 species